rnacentral:rRNA from 1 species
UACGGAGGGAGCUAGCGUUGUUCGGAAUUACUGGGCGUAAAGCGCGUGUAGGCGGGACGGUUAGUCGGACGUGAAAGGCUGGGGCUCAACCCCAGAUCGCCGUUCGAAACUGCCGUUCUUGAGGGUCGAAGAGGAGAGUGGAAUUCCUGGUGUAGCGGUGAAAUGCGUAGAGAUCAGGAGGAACACCCAUGGCGAAGGCAGCUCUCUGGUCGACAUCUGACGCUGAGACGCGAAAGCGUGGGGAGCGAACGGG